rnacentral:rRNA from 1 species
CCUACGGGUGGCAGCAGUGAGGAAUAUUGGUCAAUGGGCGGGAGACUGAACCAGCCAAGUCGCGUGAGGGAUGACGGCUCUAUGGGUUGUAAACCUCUUUUGCCGGGGAGCAAAGUCCCGCACGUGUGUCGUGUGGAGAGUACCCGGAGAAAAAGCAUCGGCUAACUCCGUGCCAGCAGCCGCGGUAAUACGGAGGAUUCAAGCGUUAUCCGGAUUUAUUGGGUUUAAAGGGUGCGUAGGUUGUUUUAUAAGUCAGCGGUGAAAGUUUGUGGCUCAACCAUGAAAUUGCCGUUGAAACUGGAAGACUUGAGUGUGUUUGAGGUAGGCGGAAUGCGUGGUGUAGCGGUGAAAUGCAUAGAUAUCACACAGAACUCCGAUUGCGAAGGCAGCUUACUAAGCCAUAACUGACACUGAAGCACGAAAGCGUGGGGAUCAAACAGGAUUAGAUACCCCAGUAGUC